UACGUAGGUGGCAAGCGUUGUCCGGAAUUACUGGGUGUAAAGGGAGUGUAGGCGGGACUGCAAGUCAGGUGUGAAAUCUAUGGGCUCAACCCAUAGCGUGCACUUGAAACUGUAGUUCUUGAGUGAGGCAGAGGCAAGCGGAAUUCCUAGUGUAGCGGUGAAAUGCGUAGAUAUUAGGAGGAACACCAGUGGCGAAGGCGGCUUGCUGGGCCUUUACUGACGCUGAGGCUCGAAAGCGUGGGUAGCAAAC
rnacentral:rRNA from 1 species